rnacentral:lncRNA from 1 species
GGGUGUCAGUGCCAAGCUGCCUACGCACUUGAGUCAACAAGAUCUGCGUACACGGAGACGCCGUCGCCCGUGACCAACUGAUAAGCGCGGGAUCGACGAGACUCGCCCUGGUUGAAGAAGCAAGAGGCGGGUCGUCGGAGUUGCUCACGGCAGGCCGGCAUGCACGGGCCGCCGGUCAAGUGAUUUGGGCAUAAACGCAGCGGAAAGGGGCUGGACUGGAUCUGAGCAAGUCAAUCAAACAGGAUUCUCCACGGCCUUAGCCGGCCAUGCGUGCCCCUCGCCUCUCCUUUUUUUUCCUGCGUUAAUGUCAGUUCUGUAUGAGAGCGAAUUUGCAACGGCACUUGCACUGGGUUCGUGCAAUCCCGUUUCUGUUCAUGAUUCAGCGUGCGUGCUAAUGGGAUUUUACAAGCUAAACCAUUGGAUGUUUACCGCACCAUUUAAAACUGAAUUUUGUUACAGAUCUGCGGUGUCAGAAACUGAAUCCCCAUACUAAUCUGAUGGCUAAACUCGGUCGUUUUCUUUUUGCGGGCACUAAACUCGGUAAAAUUAAAAUAUUCUCGAUCUACUGAACAUCAACAAGACAACUCUACAAUACUUAUCCUAAAAAAACUCCACUGGACUAAUUUUGGCCUUGAGUUAGGAAUUUAAAUUCACUGCAAUGCUAGAAGUACGUUGUUUGUGUACUAUGUGUGGUGGGGCUCACGCUCAGUCCUGGCCAUGGGAAGCCCGGCCCGGCCCGAAAAGGCCCAACCCGGCCUGGCCCUAGAUUUUGAGCCCGAUGGCUGGGCCCGGGCCCGUCGUUUUUGCGUUUUUCGGAAGAGGCCCGGCCCGAGGCCCGGUGGGCUUUUAUGCGUUCGGGUUGGCCUUGGGCCCAAAAACCAGGCCCGAUGGCCGGGCCGGGCCUGGGCCUAGGUUUUUUGCCUCGGGCUUGGCUUGGCUAGGCCCGGCCCGAAGCCCGGCCCGGCCCAAGGUUUGGCCAGGUGAGUCACGCUGUGUUCGUGCACAGAGCUAGACGUUCAAAGGGCCGGGCUUCUUCGGGCCUAGACUUUUACAAACUCAGCCCAAAAAUGUCUAGUGUGAGCCAGUCCUAAAUGCACUAUGGUUUCCGUGGGUGCUUGUAAAAUUUUCUGAUAAUCAUAAAAAAGAAAAGAAGGUGUUUGUAAAAGCAAUCUGAUUUUAGAAGGGGAAGUAGAAGGCAAAUAUAUUUGGAACGUCAUUUUAUUUUUUGUUGACCAUUCCGCAUACGGUAAAACUCAAACACAGUUAUGUUUUAGCACGGACGGAGUGAAACUUCACUUACAAAAUAAAAAAAAAUACUAGUGAAGAGAGGAGAAUUCGUCUCUUCAUAAGAAAAAAAAAACACUACAGACAGAUUCAUAAGAAUAAUUACAGCUUUCAAGUAGGUAAAAGCAGAAGAUUAUUAUAGUCAGUAAACUAGCCAACACUAGUUAAAAAGGAAGACAUCCAAGUGGUACUGAUGAGUGAUGACACUCCAAUUUGCGGUUUCUUUGACCAUUUCGUACUUUUGUUUUGCUUCUUAGGUGUAGUCACGUGUCCUCUAGUGAUCUAGUCACCGCCGAGUCACUGCAAGUUGUGUGAGCGAGCAAUGACCUUUUGCUGGAAGAUGUGGACGCGCAACCGAAGAUGUGCCCAGCCCGGUCAGCACCAUGCAGGCAAGUUGUGACUCACUUGCAUAUAGUCCUGGCCAUCUCAGGCCCGGCCCUGUCGGCCCACCCAGGCCCGGCCCUAAAAUCCAGGGCCUAGGCCCGAUGGGCUUGCCCAUGGGCCGGGCUUGGGCCUGAGUUUUGAGCCCACCAGCAGGGCCUGGACGGGCUUGGGCUUGGCAUAUUGUCAUUUUAAGGAAGAGGCCCGGCCCACGGCCCUAAGCCCUAAGGGCUUUUCAGGGCUUUUUACGAGAUGGGCCGGGCUUGGGCUUGAAAAGUAGGCCCGAUGAUAGGGCCUGGGUGGGCCUGGGCCUCAAUUUUCUGCCGUGGGCUUUUUCAGGCCCGGCCCAAGCCCGGCCCGGCCCGGCCCAUGGCCAGAUAUACUUGCAUACGAAGCGCAUCCUAUCAUUGUGUCGACCCCUCUCGGCGUCAAACAAAAACCAGCCCUUUAGCAGAAUAGCUGUUAUCCGCACUCUGCGUCCAAUACUACCAAUCAAAUUCUGAAGUCAUCAUAGAGGAAAGAGCUCUUUAAAAACUUGUGGAGGCGAGCGUGCAACCAUUUCCCACCGUGCACGUCGGCUACUAUACUAGCAUAGUAGAGUGUUCUGCACCGGUCACUGUCUGCCGAGCAAGAUUACUUGCAGACUCUAAGAUUACGUGCAUCUGCUCCACUGUUAAGCCAGCCACUACACAAAUUGGUCGCGCAGAUCUCGACGGAGCUUCCCCCAGGACGAGGCAAAAAUAACAAAUCUGACUUGUGAAUGAAAGUGUUUCACAAACUGAACCGUGUUUGAAAAUAUUUCAUACAGCUUACCCUUUUGUGUAGCGUCCGACAGCCAUAAGUCAUACCAUACUAUGCAACGCCUGGCUCUUAGACGCUGCAUAUCUGGCCAGCGUGGCACAUCUGAGUCAGAUCUGGCCCCACAUCCAACCGUGCAGCGCCUAACAGUUAGACACCACACAUGUAAUGUGCAGCGCCUUGUAGUUAGGCACUGCACAUUCUGUUAACAGGGCCCGGACAGGCCCCCUCCCCGCCCCCUCUCCCCCAUCCCAAUUCCCACCAUAUCUCUCCCACCCGCGAUUUCCCUUCUCUUCCCCCCUCAAAUCCUCCCCAGAUCUUGAAGAUCUGAAGAUUUUCUCCGUGGAUUUCGAACCCAUUCCCUCCCUCUAGGUAAUCCCCUCGUUUUCAUCCAAAAAAUGCUCACAUUUGCUCAUUUCUUGCUAGUUUGGGCAAACCCUAGUUUUUCAUGAAUUUUGAAAUUUGUAUGGAAAUAUGAGAUGUUUGUUUGCCAAUUUGCUAGGGUUAGGCUUCUUAGUGUAUUAGGGUUAGGGUUAUGAGUGUUGUUAUGUUGGGGUUAGGGUUGUUAGUAUGUUAAGGUUAUGCUUAUGUGUAAGAGCAUUUUUAUCCUUUAGUUGGUUUUGGUGAUUGAUGACAAUGCUUUUGCGGACUAAUCAUGUGCAUCAAAUAUUUUAGAUAUAUUGACUAGGCACAAGAUGAUUGGCUUCCCCUCAAAGGCUAUAGAAGACAACGUUUUUCUUCGGUUCUUUUCGGUGGUAUUGAGUCGUAGGGAAGCCGUACUAUUAAGAGGGGGUCCGCUUUGGAAAGGUUGGGUGGAUUCAUCACGUACACAUCGUGCCUUGCACCUUCUUUCCUCUUGCCUUUGGAGCAUCCUAAGUUUUCCUUGUCUAUGCAAUUAUAGCUCUUGUCUGCCGAACUAGGAAGUGCGGUAGUACUGCUCGUCAGAGCGGUAGUACCGCCCGCUGGUGCGGUAGUACCGCAAGGCCCCACGGUAGUACCGCUUCUGGUAAGCGGUAGUACCGUGGUCCCUGCUUAGUUCCGCAACUACGCGGCUGUAAGGGGCGGAUGUAAUUUUUUACAUCCGCACCUCCCGCGGUAGUACCGCGGCUGGCUUACGGUACUACCGCGUCGGGUUUUUGCACCGACUCCAACUCUGCAGAAGUAGCCACGGAUGUAAUUUUUCAUAUCCGUGCCUUCCCAUCCCUGGACAGCCCCUGCCUUGCGGUAGUACCGCAAGGGGGAGCGGUAGUACCGCGCCAGCAGUACUACCGCCCUCUGCCUUAGUGCACGUGUGGCUGUUCUGGUCUCUGUUGCGUGGGCGGUAGUACCGCGGGGCUCUGCGGUAGUACCGCGUGCCCCUGCGGUAGUACCGCGCCUCAGGUGCGGUAGUACCGCGCCUCAGGUGCGGUAGUACCGCGCUGCGCAGGCUGAGUUGGUGGAUAGCGGUUGGAUUUGUUCUUCCACUAUAUAAGGGGUGUCUUCCUCCUCUAGUUGACUACCUCUUCCACCUCGAAGCUCCAUUGUUGCUCCAAGCUCCAUUUUCGCCCGAUCUCCUUCCCUAGCCAAUCAAACUUGUUGAUUCUCUAGGGAUUGGUUGAGGAGGCCCCGAUCUACACUUCCACCAAGAGAUAUUUGAAUCCCCCACUAAUCCCUUAUGGAUCUUGUUACUCUUGGGUGUUUGAGCACCCUAGACGGUUGAGGUCACCGUGGAGCCAUAGUCCAUUGUGGUGAAGCUUCGUGGUAUCGUUGGGAGCCUCCAAUUAAGUUGUGGAGAUUGCCCCAACCUUGUUUGUAAAGGUUCGGUCGCCGCCUCCAAGGGCACCAAUAGUGGAAUCACGGCAUCUCGCAUUGUGUGAGGGCGUGAGGAGAAUACGGUGGCCCUAGUGGCUACUUGGGGAGCAUUGUGCCUCCACACCGCUCUAACAGAGACGUACUUCCUCUCAAAAGGAAGGAACUUCGGUAACACAUCCUCGUCUUCACCGGCUCCACUCUUGGUUAUCUCGUGCCUUUACUUGUGCAAGCUUAUUUGUGCCUUAUCUCUUGCUUGCGUGUAUGCUUAUUGUUUUUGCAUCAUAUAGUUUGCUCACCUAGUUGCAUUUCUAGACAACCUACUUUGAUGCAAAGUUUAAAUUGCUAAAGAAAAGCUAAAAAUUGUUAGUUGCCUAUUCACCCCCCUCUAGUCAACUAUAUCGAUCCUUUCAAUUGGUAUCAGAGCCUCGUCUCUUUAUUAAGGACUUUACCGUCCGAAGAGUAUGGUUGACGUCGUAGACGGUGUGGAGGAGCACUCCGGUGUGAAUCCGGUCUCGUCUACGGGAGAUGAGGGAACCGCGGUCUCUCGUGAGGAAUUAAAUGUGGCGUUGGACACAUUGAAAACCUCCAUGACUACUGAGGUAGAAAGCAUGUUUAAUAAAUACUUAGAAGGGCUUUAACUUUCCACCGCACCGUUGAAAAUGGGUGAUCCCACCAACAAGGUGACGGAUGCUACCUCCGACAAAGGGGAAGCUACUAGCGAGAAAGCUCCUUCUUCUAGUGGUAAAAAUGGCACCGACAUCUUUGCCCAUGUGGAACCUCCACCUGUCUAUGAUGGACCGCUCCCUUCCACUCAUUUGAAUCAUGCCGGCCCGGCCCCUAAGAUUGACAAGAAGGUAGAUUUUGAUUCUUGGGUCUAUCGUUUUAAGCGUCAUUUAAAUCAUGUGAACACUAACCUUUGGAGAAUCAUUGAAGAAGGUUUUUAUCCGCAUGACCGAAGUAACUUCACUCCUAGAGAACUUGUGGAUCAUCAAUUCAAUGAGAAUGCUCUCUUCAUCAUCCAAGAAGCAAUCCCACCCGAAGAUCUUCCUCAUCUCCGGCCCUACCCGUGGCCAAAGAUGCUUGGCUCCAAGUUGUUUCCCUCUAUCGGGGAAGCGCAAGCAUUCAACGCUCCAACUAUGAAGUGGUGCAAGAUGAAGCCGACGAGUUUGCAAUGAAAGAAGAUGAAGAACCUCAUGAGCUUUUUCGGAGAGUAACCAAACUCGCGGUCUCUCUCCGAGAUCAUGGUAGUAAGGACACGGAUGACAAUUGGAUCAAGCGCAAAUCCCUCAAGGCAAUGAUGCCCUACCACAAAGCCAUGUCCUCCAUCAUUCGUCAAAGGCCGGACUUCCACACCUUGUCCUCAAGUGAAGUGUUGGAUGAGUUCGUUGCUAUGAGCAUCUUGGACAAGACCGCCGACAAUGCGGUUCUUCGCUCUGAAAGAGUAAAGAAUCCCAACAUUGCGCUAAAGGCCAAGGUGAGUAUGGAGGAAGAGGAUGAAUAGGAAGAAGAGGAGAGCAACCUCGAAGAUACGAAGUAUGCCUAUGAUGAACACAUGGCUCUUGCUUCAAGGCAAUUUUGGAGCAAGAAGAACUCAAGGCCAAACUUCAACAAGAACUAUUCAAGUGGUGCAAAGGACAAGCAACGAGUGAGGACUUGCUUAAAUUGUGGCACUGUGAGCCACUUUGUUGCGGAAUGCCCUUACGAGAAGAGGGAAGACAAUGGUGGCAAGCUCAUCCGAAAGGACAAGGGCAAGUCGUUCCCCAACAAGAGCAACUUCACCAAGAAGACUCAUCCCAAGGCAUUGGUGGUACAAGAAGAGUACAAUGAGGAUGAUGACGAUGAUGAAGAUGGUGAGUCGGUUGCCAUGGCCUCCGUUGCCAUUGCAAUGACUCCACGGAUGUCUCUCUUCGACUCACCCAAUGAGAACAUCACCGCCAAGUGCCUCAUGGCUAAAGCCACCAACAAGGUAACCCCCAACAUCAAAACUACCAUCAUUAAUCAUCCUUCUUCGACGGAUAGCAUUGAUGAAUAUGAGGGGACAAAUGUGGAGGAAAAUGAGUUUGAGACCUUUAUGGGUAAACUCAAGGGUAAAUCCAAGAAGCACUUCGUUGCUCUCUUGAAACAACUUGGUGAAGCCAAUGACAUGAUCGAGGCUCACGAAGAUACCAUCUCUAAGAUGGAGGGGCAUAGUCGUGACUAUGCCGAUGAGAUUUCAGAUCUUUCCAAUGCUCUUGACGAAGAGCGUGGUCUUCGUUUGGCUCUUGAGGAGUCAUACAACGAUGGUCAUGCUAAGUUAAAGAAAGAUCUUCAUCAUGGUCUUGUUGUGUCCUCGUGUGCUAAACUCCGAGAAGGCAAAGCUUGGGAUUGAUCUUGCUAGACUCAAAGAGGAGUUUGACAUUCUUGACAAGGCUCACAAAGUCUUGAAGGGUGUUCAUGCUAGCCUCAAGGAGUCUCAUGAUCAACUCCAAGUGAAGCUAACUAAGGAGAAAGCCACCUUUCCUCAUAUGGUGUUAAUUGAUAAUGCAAAUGCUACUAACCCUUGUUGUGAGCAUGUGCAUCUUUUUGAGGAGAAUGCUAAGUUGAAGGAGCAACUUGAGAAAGGCCUUGUGUCAUGCAUACAAGGUGAGAAGAACCUCAACGACCUUUUGAGCAAUCAAAAGGAAGUUGUGGCCAAGGAGGGGAUUGGGUUCGCACCCAAGCCCAAGAACAAGAAGAAGAAUGACAAGACCAAAUGACCUCCUCCUCUCAAGCAAACUUUUGUGAAGGAGGGAGAGGGUGCUUCCAAGGAGAAGAAGAACAAUGCGAAGGGUGGCGGUGUCAAGAAGGGCAAUGCCACCCCUUCCAACAAAGCCGACGACUUUAAUCCUUCUUAUGUGCUAUGCCGUGCUAGUGAUGGGCAUGUUUAUGCCAAAUUUGUUGGUUCUCCUCAUGAGUAUAUUGAAUGGUCUAUUUGGGUUCCUAAGACCCUUGUUACUAACAUCAAAGGACCCAUUACAAAAUGGGUACCUAAAACCAAGCAUUGAUCUCUUGUAGGUGUUUGCUUCCGGUGGGGGAUCAUGGUUGCUCGAUAGUGGAGCUACAAAUCAUAUGACCGGAAGCAAGGACUUGGUGGUGGACGUGCACAAGAUUCCAUUUAUGCCCACCAAUGUCGAGUGGGGUGAUGCCUCGUCUUCUAAGGUAUUGGGACUCGGCAAAGAUGUCAUUUCUCAUGAUCUCACGAUCGAGAAGGUCAUGCUUAUUGAGUCCCUUGCAUACAAUUUACUUUCCGUUCGUCAACUUGCAAUCAUGGGCUUUGCCACUUUCUUUGAUAUUGAUACCGUGGCCUCUUGUGGACCAAAACUCUUAAAGUAGCCUUUGUUGGGCAUGUCGAAAACGGUCUCUAUGUGAUUAACUUUUCGGAGCGACCCACUAAGACCGCGACAUGCCUAAUGGCUAAAGUUGACGUGGGAUGGCUUUGGCAUCGCCGGUUAGCCCAUGUCAAUAUGAGAUCUUUGCAAAGUCUUCUCAAGGGGGACCAUGUCCGUGGACUAACGAAUGUUAGUUUUGCUAAAGAUCAUGCUUGCAGCGCUUGUAUCGAAGGAAAGCUACAUGAGACGGCUCACCCUCCCACAACUAUCAUUUACUCGAAGAGGCCUUUGGAGCUCCUUCAUUUGGAUCUCUUUGGGCCUCCAUCCUUUGAUAGUCUUGGGGGUAGGAAGUAUUGCUUGGUGAUUGUGGAUGACUAUUCAAGAUACUCUUGGGUGUAUUUCUUCAAGAGGAAGAGCGAGACCCAACAAACCGUCAUUGACUUUGCGAAUGAAGCCCAACGUCAACACAAUACAAAGAUCUUGACAAUAAGAAGUGACAACGGCACCGAGUUCAAGAACUACACCUUGGAUGAGUUUCUUAGUGAUGAGGGGAUCAAGCAUCAAUAUUCCGCACCUUACACCCCUCAACAAAACGGUGUUGCGGAGAGGAACAACCGGACGUUGAUGGAUGCGGCAAGGACCAUGAUGGCGGAGUUCAAGUCUCCAUACAACUUUUGGGCCGAAGCCAUCAACACCGCGUGUCAUGCAUCCAAUCGGCUCUACCUCCACAAGGGCUUGAACAAGACUCCAUAUGAGAUACUCACCGGUAACAAGCCCAACCUCAAGUACUUCCGGGUGUUCGGGUGUAAGUGUUUCAUUCUCAAGAAAGGUGUUCGGUUGUCUAAAUUUGAGGCUAGAGCUUAUGAGGGCAUAUUUGUUGGUUAUGCUACAAACUCUCAUGCUUACCGUGUCCUCAAUAAAUCUACGGGACUUAUUGAGGAGACGUGUAACGUGGAGUUUGAUGAGAAUAACGGCUCCCAAGUGGAGCAAAGUGGCACUUGUGAUGUAGGUGAUGAAAUUCCUCCUCAAGCCAUAAGAAGAAUGGGUGUUGGUUUUAUUCUACCCAUUGAGGAACCCCUUGUGGCCGAAGGAGAAGGACAAUGCUCCACUCAAGUGGAGCCAUCACCAACCCAAGGCCCACACGCUUCCGAAGAACAAAGUGAAGACCCUCAACCUCAGGAACAAGACCAAGGGCAAGAUCAUGCUCACGACGGUGGUGACACACCAAGUGAUGCCCAAGGUCAAGUUCUCUCCUCCGAGCAAGUUCAAGAUCAAGAACAAGCUCAAGACGGCGCUCAAGAUGAUCAAGUGACCGCUCCUCGACUCACCACCGAGGAGGAAUUGGAGCGUCGUGCCGCCAAGAUUGCAUCCAAGCUCUCCACCAAGGGUCAUCUCAUGAAGAAUGUGCUUGGAAGCAUUCAAAAGGGGGUAAGCACUCGUAGACAAUUGGCAAACUAUUGUGAACAUCACGCGUUUGUCUCUUGUGUUGAACCCCAUAAGGUAUAUGAAGCACUCGAAGAUCCGGAUUGGCUUAAUGCCAUGCAUGAAGAACUCAACAACUUCGAGUACAACAAGGUGUGGAGAUUAGUGCCAAGGCCAACGGGGAACCACAAUGUCCUCAUGGGACCAUCAUUCGUAACAAGGCACGAUUGGUGGCACAAGGCUACUCCCAAGUCGAGGGUAUCGACUACGGUGAAACCUUUGCUCCCGUUGCUCGCCUUGAAUCUAUUCGUUUGUUGAUUGCUUAUGCUUCUCAUCACAACUUUAAGUUGCUACAAAUGGAUGUGAAGAGUGCUUUUCUUAAUGGUCCCAUUAAUGAGUUGGUUUAUGUCAAGCAACCCCCCGGGUUCGAGGAUCCCUACUUUCUCGAUCAUGUGUAUCAACUCGAUAAGGCACUCUAUGGCCUUAAACAAGCCCCACGUGCGUGGUAUGACCACCUUACCGAGUUGUUACAAGAUCGUGGGUUUGAAGUUGGGCUAAUCGACCCCACUCUUUUUACUAAGAAGGUCAAAGGGGAGUUGUUUGUAUGCCAACUAUAUGUUGAUGACAUUAUCUUUGGUUCCCCUAACAAAGCUUUCAAUGAGGAAUUUGCCGCACUCAUGACCUCAAAGUUCAAGAUGUCUUCCAUGGGAGAGUUGAAGAUCUUUCUCGGUUUCGAAGUACAGCAAAGAAGAGAAGGAACCUUCAUCAACCAAGCCAAAUACACUCAAGACAUGCUCAAGAGAUUCAAACUAAGUGAUGUCAAGCCGGCGUCCACUCCAAUGCCCACCAAGUGCCAACUUGACAUCGAUCCCAACGGUAAAGCGGUGGAUCAAAAGGUAUGUCGCUCCAUGAUUGGUUCCUUGCUUUAUCUUUGUGCAUCUAGACCGGAUAUCAUGUUGAGUGUGGGAAUUUGUGCACAGUUUCAAGCCGCACCUAAGGAAAACCACUUUGUGGCGGUCAAGCGAAUCUUUCGAUAUUUGGCUCAUACCCCAAACUUUGGCUUAUGGUACCCAAGAGGAGCAAACUUCAAGCUUGUAGGAUAUUCGGACUCCGAUUGGGCGGGAGACAAAGUGGAUAGGAAGUCCACUUCCGGAGGGUGCCAAUUCCUUGGUUGCUCUUUGGUAAGUUGGUCUUCUAAAAAGCAAAGUUGUGUGUCUCUCUCGUCCACCGAAGCGGGGUAUGUGGCGGCCGGGAGUUGUUGUGCACAACUCUUAUGGAUGAGGCAAACUUUAAAGGAUUACCGUGUCAUUUGUGACAAAGUGCCUCUUUGGUGUGAUAAUAAAAGUGCCAUCAAGAUUUCUCUCAACCCCGUGCAACACUUCAAGACGAAGCAUAUUGAGAUUCGGUAUCACUUCAUCCGAGAUCACAUUAGGCGAGGGGAGAUCGAGCUCAACUACGUCAACACCCAUGAUAACCUUGCAGAUAUUUUCACGAAGCCUUUGGAUGAAGCAAGAUUUCGUGAGUUAAGGCAUGAGCUAAAUAUCAUUGAUUCGAGCAAUGUUGCUUGACCCCUUGCACACCCCACCACACUCAACUUGUUGUCUAAUCUAGGUGUAGGCAUGGACAUAGGGGGAGUGUUGUUCUCUCAAUGAACUCUCCCUCCCCCAUUAUGCAUAAAGUGAUCAACUCUUUCACAUUAGCCAUUUUUGAUGGUACUUGUGCUUCAAAGACGAGUUUUGGUCAUGGGCCCAAGGAUAAUUCUUCGCGGUGCCAUACCUAUUGACUUAAACAUAGGUGGCUCCGGCCACCGCCCUCUCCUUGGAGAGGUUGUGCCUCUCCUUCUUCGUGGCGCGCUCGUGCUUGUGGUGUCCAGUGUGUUAGUUCCUUAUUGUGGUCUUGUCACGCCCAAUAUGCGAUACUAUCCGAAAGAGACUCGAAGGUCCCACCAAGGAUAGAACCACAUAUUGACACGCUUUUGCAAGGUGGAUAUCAUUACAUCAACAUUACAUAAUAGCUGGGGAUACAUACAAGAGGCAUACAAUGCCACAAGAAUACAUUAAUAUACAUGAGAACAACAUCCGACUAUGGAUGAAACACAAACAGAAACUCAAACGACAUCCACCCUACUAGCCCAGGCUGCCGACCUGGAACCUAUCCCCUGAUCGAAGAAGAAGCAGAAGAAGAACUCCAAAACAAGUGAACAUCGCUCUCGCAUCAUGAUCAUCGCAAAACCUGUACCUGCAACUGGUGUUGAAGUAAUCUGUGAGCCACGAGGACUCAGCAAUCCCAUUACCAUGGGUAUCAAGACUAGCAAAGCUUAAUGGGUAAGGAAAGGGGGUAAAGUGGUGAGGUUGCAGCAGCGACUAAGCAUGUAUGGUGGCUAACAUACGCAAAUAAGAGCGAGAAGAGAAGCAACGGAACGAUCGUGAAACUAGCAAUGAUCAAGAAGUGAUCUUGAACUCCUACUUACGUCAAACAUAACCCAGAAACCGUGUUCACUUCCCGGACUCCGCCGAGAAGAGACCAUCACGGCUACACACGCGGUUGAUGCGUUUUAGUUAAGGUCAAGUGUCAAGUACUCUACAACCGGACGUUAACAAAUUCCCAUCUGCCACAUAACCGUGGGCACGGCUUUCUAAAGAUAAUACCCUGCAGGGGUGUCCCAACUUAGCCCAUCAUAAGCUCUCACGGUCAACGAAGGAUAUUCCUUCUCCCGGGAAGACCCGAUCAGUCUCGGAAUCCCGGUUACAAGACAUUUCGAUAAUGGUAAAACAAGACCAGCAAAGCCGCCCGAUGUGUCGACAAUCCCGAUAGGAGUCGCACGUACCUCGUUCUCAGGACACACCGGAUGAACACUACGUACAACUAAAACCAGCCCUCAAGUUUCCUCGAGGUGGCGCUGCAAGUGGCUCUAGUUUGGACCAACACUCCGAGGAGCACUGGCNNNNNNNNNNNNNNNNNNNNNNNNNNNNNNNNNNNNNNNNNNNNNNNNNNNNNNNNNNNNNNNNNNNNNNNNNNNNNNNNNNNNNNNNNNNNNNNNNNNNNNNNNNNNNNNNNNNNNNNNNNNNNNNNNNNNNNNNNNNNNNNNNNNNNNNNNNNNNNNNNNNNNNNNNNNNNNNNNNNNNNNNNNNNNNNNNNNNNNNNNNNNNNNNNNNNNNNNNNNNNNNNNNNNNNNNNNNNNNNNNNNNNNNNNNNNNNNNNNNNNNNNNNNNNNNNNNNNNNNNNNNNNNNNNNNNNNNNNNNNNNNNNNNNNNNNNNNNNNNNNNNNNNNNNNNNNNNNNNNNNNNNNNNNNNNNNNNNNNNNNNNNNNNNNNNNNNNNNNNNNNNNNNNNNNNNNNNNNNNNNNNNNNNNNNNNNNNNNNNNNNGAGGAGUUUUAUUCAAAGCGAACUGUCAAGGGGGUCCCAUAAAUCACCCAACCGCGUAAGGGACGCAAAAUCAAGGAACAUAACACCGGUAUGACGGAAACUAGGGCGGUAAGAGUGGAACAAAACACCAGGCAUAAGGCCGAGCCUUCCACCCUUUACCAAGUAUAUGGUUGAAUUAAUAAUAUAAGAGAUAUUGUGAUAUCCCAACAUAAACAUAAUCCAACAUGGAGCAAUCUUCAUCUUCACCUGCAACUAGCAACGCUAUAAGAGGGGCUGAGCAAAGCAGUAACAUAGCCAAACAAUGGUUUGCUAGGAAGGGUGACAAAGGUUAGAGGUUCAUGGCAAUUUGGGAGGCUUGAGGAGCAUGUGAUAGGUAGCGCAGCAUAGCGAUAGAACGAAGCAACUAGCAUAGCAAUGAUAGUAGUGCGAUCCAAGGUGACGGUCAUCUUGCUUGAAAUCCCGCUGGGCAGAAGAACGAGUCCAUGAAGAAGAUGAAGCCACGAAGACGAACCAAGCGUAGACGAACGAAUCCUCACGAUCGCAACGAAACGGGAACUAUCGAGAAGAAGCACACAACAUGGUAAACACACCACACAUGAACAAGACAUGAUGCUCAAUCAAGUAUGAUGCAUGACAAGGCUACAUGAAGCUACUCAUGGCAAGAGAUGAUGCAUACAAGAACAACACAACAAAGCAAGUUUAAAUGAGGCCGGAAACAACAUAUGACAAUUCCGGUAAGUCCUCAUAUGCAAAUUUCGAAAUUGGUCCAGAUCUGAAUAAGCCUUAUGUUCAAGUUGUUAAACAGCAAGUUAAGAUGCACCAAAAUGAUCUACACAAAAUUCUAGUCAAGUUACAUAUAAAGUUCAUUAGAUUCGGAGCUACGACCUAGAAGAUAUGAGCAAAACAAGUUAAACAUGGCAUUGAUACAAAAUGCAAUCAAACAUCAAGCAAACACAUUCAAAACAUGGAUCCAACAAGGUAACAUGAAACUACAUGCAAAAGUAAGCAAGUUUCAUAUAGAGCAUGCUCAAAACGGAGCAACGGUGCAACACAUACACUCCAAACAAGAUAUAGCAACAAUCUGUCCAAAAUAGCAACUAGGCAUCUUGCAAGCAUCAAAACAAUAUGCUAUAGCACACCAGCAUGAAAACAAAUGACAUGGGCAUGAUGUACAGGUAAAGCAUUACAAAACAUGAACACUGAGUUAUCUUCAGAAAUCACUAGAACAUGCUCAAAAGGACAUGGCAAGAUUGCAGAUAAUAACAGUUCACAGACUUGGCAGAAAAUCACUGGACAUGACAGAAAUAACAUCAGAUUGCAAAGUUUAGAGCUAUCAAACAACAUGCUACAGGAACAUAUCGUAGCAAACAAAGGCAUGGCGUGAAUCUACUAAUUGCAUAGAACAAAAGUCCCUUACUGAUCACGAUCCAAAAAGGCACAGAAGAUAUGAUGGCAUCAAUGUAAACAUAGCAAGUUUCAUAAACAGAUUCAGACUUGGAAGAAAAACAGAGCAUGGCAGAAAUAACGAUAAGUAGGCAUGUUGGUGAGCUUGAACCACUCACCACAGAGCAAUACAUGGCAUGACAAGGUAACCAGCAGUAAUAUUGCACAAAUAUGAAGUUAAGCAUGGCAAGAGCAAGUUCAUAGGGUGGAUGGAUCACUAUCAAAACACAUGGCAAAAACUGGACUUAAUGUUAACAGGCUGACAGCAACAUUAUUUAGCAAUUUGAGAGCAAGUUUGCAACAAGGCUACAGCAGGCUAUAAAUGCAACUAAGGGCAUGUAUGGAGAGAGCAUAACAUGUAUAAUAAAACAUCCUUAGUGAACAUCUCCAGAUUAUGCAUAGAAUGACUUUUAGCAGCAGGUUUACAUGGCAUCACAACAUAACAGACUUAGACUUGGCAGAAAUGACCGUCACAGAAAUCAGCAACAUCACGGAGGCUAUUUUGCAUGCUUGUGCUAGUCACCACAUAGAUCACAAAAAUACAAGGCAAACACCACUGUAAAUCUGGCAUGAUGUAGUGCAAAACACAUGUAGAGUUCAUGGUCAUAAGAUGCACACACAAAAUGCAAUAAAAAAGACAAAUCAUCAAGUUCUGUAAACAGACAGUAGUUAACAUCAUAUAGCACUCUUGCAAAGAUGAUUAGGGCAUCAACAUGACCUCAAACAAGCAUGGCACAAUGGAACAAAAUGAAGAGCAUCUCAUGAUGAACAUUUCUAUAUAUUAUACAUGCGUAACAGAGCAGUACACGCAAAGAUACAAGGUACACAAGAUGCAUGCAUCAUGUGGAAAAUCUGGGGACUUGGUGGAAUUUCAACCUCGAAGAAAACGGGACAAAGCCAUGCGGAUGGAGGGGUCCGGGACGGAGGGGCCGUUUGGAUGGUUGAACGGGUGGAUCUGGUCCACCUGACCAGAUCCGGCGAGGACGACGGCGCCGGCGAGCUUCCGGCGAUGGCACGGUGGGGAAGGCGCGGGGUGACGGGGACGGCGCGGUGCGGAGUCCGGCGGCGCGGAAGCCGAGGGAGGCGGCGGCGAGGCGCGGGAGAGACGCGCCGGCGGGCGGCGCCGGCGAGGGNNNNNNNNNNNNNNNNNNNNNNNNNNNNNNNNNNNNNNNNNNNNNNNNNNNNNNNNNNNNNNNNNNNNNNNNNNNNNNNNNNNNNNNNNNNNNNNNNNNNNNNNNNNNNNNNNNNNNNNNNNNNNNNNNNNNNNNNNNNNNNNNNNNNNNNNNNNNNNNNNNNNNNNNNNNNNNNNNNNNNNNNNNNNNNNNNNNNNNNNNNNNNNNNNNNNNNNNNNNNNNNNNNNNNNNNNNNNNNNNNNNNNNNNNNNNNNNNNNNNNNNNNNNNNNNNNNNNNNNNNNNNNNNNNNNNNNNNNNNNNNNNNNNNNNNNNNNNNNNGGCGCACGGUGGUUGGCGCGGACGGAUGUCGUGGCGGCGGCGCUAGGUGUUGUUGGCGGCGACAAGUGGCAGCGGGGAAGGGGUUUGGCGCGGGAUCCGAGGAGGGUGGCGGCGGGACAGAGGUAGGGGAAGGUUUAGGGGUAGGUUUAGACUAAGGUUUGUCCAAAAUGGACUAGGGGUGUUUAAAUAGGUAGGGAGGCCUAGGGUUAGGGGGGUUUGAGACCGAUUCGGAGCCUCCGAUCGUGAUCCGACGGAUCCGAUCGCGAGGGGGGUUAGGUAGGUCUAGGUGGGCUGCAGGGGGGCUGUGUAGAAAGGCCAAGAGAUGUAGGAGAGAAGAGAGAGAGGCCCGGCAACAGUUUCCGGAGACCGAAAACGUCCGACGAAGGUACCGGCAACGGUACUGCUACAAGUUUAACGAUUGGGAAAACAAACGAGUUCCGAAUACGACGAAACUUGACAGGCGGUCUACCUUAUAAUAAGACCGCACACCAACUUUCAACCCAUUCCGAGAACGCUUUUCUCCCACUCACGAAACAAGGUCUGAGAGGGCGAUGGGCGCGUGCGAGAGUGUCGGAUCGCGAAACGAACAACGGGGAAAAGAACCGGAUGCAAGUUUUGAAAAAUAUGAUGAUGCAAUGCAUAUGAUGACAUGGCAAAAUGCAACACACAAGCAAAUGACAAGGCAAGGACGGCGAAUAACUGGCAGACACCUGGCGCAUCGGAUCCGGGGCGUUACAGGUCUCUCGCUUGAAGGUUCUGUGCUUAGGUGUUAUCUUUGGUUGAAACUGUUCUUUUUGAGCCCACGGUACUACCGCAAGGGGGCGCGGUACUUCCGCACCCAGCGCGGCAGUAAUUUUUUACUGCCGCCUGGGGGAGCGGUACUACGGCCUCGGUGCGGUACUUCCGCCCGGGCGGUAGUACCGCGAUGACGUGCGGUACUACCGCGAGAGGAGUGAGCAGUACUUCCGCACCCAGCGCGGCAGUAAUUUUUUACUGCCACCUGGGGGAGCGGUACUACGGCCUCGGUGCGGUACUUCCGCCCGGGCGGUAGUACCGCGAUGACGUGCGGUACUUCCGUGCGGUCAAGGGCGCGUGGGGGUUAAACACGGGCAGGGGAGUUCUAACUCCCCCAUACCCAUUCGUCUCUCUCCCCACUUCAUCUCUCUCUCUCUCUCUCGCUCAAGCACGGCGCCGGAGGUCCUCGCCGGAUCUCCGUCUCCGGCCGCUCUCCUUGGAUUCCGACCGGUGGGAUCGUUCCCCACCACUCCCUCUUGCCAUGGAACAAGGUUUCUUCCCAAUCCCUCUCUUUUUCUUUUUCGUCUUGUUGCUUUUAGGUUUUGGGGAGAUGCAAGUUGUUCUUGAGAUUUUAGGCCAAAUCUAUGCAAGAGUAGGAUGUAGGAGAGUAGUUUUGUGUAGUGUUGGUACUUGCUAUAGUUGUCCCGUGAUGGAUUUGAUCGACCGUAGUACCGCGUGUUGACACGGUUGUGCUCAGAUCUCCAUGGCCAUUUCGGAUCUGCAACCGUGCGGUACUACCGCUCCUCAGGUGCGGUACUACCGCCCUGCUGGUGCGGUACUACCGCACGUCCGGUACUACCGCCCUGUGGGUGCGGUACUACCGCACGUCCGGUACUACCGCUCCUUGGAGCGGUACUACCGCACGUGGCACAACACGCGUUACUACCGUUGUCUCAAAUCCCUCUUGUGGCACUUCUCACAUGCCAAGUCUAUUUGUUUCUCCUGCUUUGCUGUGAUCUUUGCAUUGAUCCUUCUCGCGUUUCGUGCGUGAUUGUUUUGUGGUGUGUGUUUAGGUGGUGGCUCACGUGCUCCGGCUCACCGCUCCAAUCCAAGCCGUGACACGGGAUCCAAGCGUAUGCGCAACACAGAGGAAGCAGAGGGCUCCAAUGCCCCCCAACGCAGAACCAAGACCUCUGCCACCAAAGAGAAGGAACCCGCCAAGGGUAUGGAUGAGAUACCACUUGCUGAGUUCAUCGCUCGGAGAAAGAUCAAUCCGUAUGGAAACCCUCGUGCUAACUUUCGAGGGAAUGACCUAUUCUGGACCAAGCAGCAGAAUCUCAUUUAUCUGGAUGUCAUCAAGGCCAAGCAAAAUACCCAUGUGGAGGUGAAGUGGAUCAACAUGCAUCACAUGCGCAAAGAGGCGCACCGUGAAUACUUUGGUGAGGCUUUGGACCUCGUAGAGCAAUUUGGCAUUGUGCAUAUCAUCUCAUUCCACAAAGACUAUGAUCCUGAGAUCCUUGCUCAGUUUUUUGCAUCCGUGCAUUUUCAUCCCAAUGAGGAAAGGACCAUGACUUGGAUGACCAAUGGCCGACAGCUGACUGCUACUUGGAAGGAAUUCAUGACCCUGCUUGGGGUUCUGGAUGAGAGGCUCGCCACACCCCAAGGUGUUCGCCCUCAUGCCAAUCCUGAGUCAGCCAACAAGAACAAGCUCAUGCCCAACCUUGUGGAGAAGAAGCUCUCCAAUGGCAAGUCAACUUGGGUACUCAACUCCUUUCUUGACAUCAUGCACCGGAUCUUCCGCAACACUCUCUUCCCACGCAUUGGGGACAAGGACAAGGUGCAUGCCUAUCUGGUGGAUAUGAUGCUCCUGUGUGAAGAUGCUCGCAACUCUCAGACACAGCCACUUGAUGUCUCACAUAUCAUGUGGAUUGAGCUUCGGUUUGCGGUUUACAACCGCAAGCUCCCCAUCUAUGGACCUUAUUUGUUUCUGUUGAUCUCGGCUACUUGGGAGCGGGUCUACCCUCAGGAUGAGUUUGAGGCCCCUGGUUGGAUCCGGCAUGAGCCAAUCAACCUCCGUAUCAAGCCUCAGUGGGCCAACACUACCUCUCGUGCUGAUACUGCGGCUGCCAUGGACGUGGAUGCAAAUGAGGAUGAGGAGGAGGCAGCAGACGAGGACAGCUCUGAGGGUUGCAUCCCUCCCACCUCUGAGCCUUCUUGGGCUAAGCGACUGAGGAACAAGAUGAAGAUGUUGUUCUGUAUGCAAGCAAAGGGGCAGUACCAGACCCAUGUGGCUUCCAAGGAGACUCGCCGCCGCGACAAGCGGAUUUUCAGGACCUUUGGCGAGAACAUAUCUAGCGGGUCAGAGGUGAACAUUGUUGGAAAUAUGCCCUAGAGGCAAUAAUAAAUUGGUUAUUAUUAUAUUUCCUUGUUCAUGAUAAUCGUUUAUUAUCCAUGCUAAAAUUGUAUUGAUAGGAAACUCAGAUACAUGUGUGGAUACAUAGACAACACCAUGUCCCUAGUAAGCCUCUAGUUGACUAGCUCGUUGAUCAAUAGAUAGUUACGGUUUCCUGACCAUGGACAUUGGAUGUCGUUGAUAACGGGAUCACAUCAUUAGGAGAAUGAUGUGAUGGACAAGACCCAAUCCUAAGCCUAGCACAAGAUCGUGUAGUUCGUUUGCUAAGAGCUUUUCUAAUGUCAAGUAUCAUUUCCUUAGACCAUGAGAUUGUGCAACUCCCGGAUACCGUAGGAAUGCUUUGGGUGUACCAAACGUCACAACGUAACUGGGUGACUAUAAAGGUGCACUAAAGGUAUCUCCGAAAGUGUCUGUUGGGUUGGCACGAAUCGAGACUGGGAUUUGUCACUCCGUGUAAACGGAGAGGUAUCUCUGGGCCCACUCGGUAGGACAUCAUCAUAAUGUGCACAAUGUGACCAAGGAGUUGAUCACGGGAUGACGUGUUACGGAACGAGUAAAGAGACUUGCCGGUAACGAGAUUGAACAAGGUAUCAGGAUACCGACGAUCGAAUCUCGGGCAAGUAACAUACCGAUAGACAAAGGGAAUUGAAUACGGGAUUGAUUGAAUCCCCGACAUCAUGGUUCAUCCGAUGAGAUCAUCGUGGAACAUGUGGGAGCCAACAUGGGUAUCCAGAUGCCGCUGUUGGUUAUUGGCCGGAAAACGUCUCGGCCAUGUCUGCAUGGUUCCCGAACCCGUAGGGUCUACACACUUAAGGUUCGAUGACGCUAGGGUUAUAGGGAAUAGAUAUACGUGGUUACUGAAUGUUGUUCGGAGUCCCGGAUGAGAUCCCGGACGUCACGAGGAGUUCCGGAAUGGUCCGGAGGUAAAGAUUUAUAUAUGGGAAGUCAUGUUUUGGUCACCGGAAAAGUUUCGGGUGCUAUCGGUAACGUACCGGGACCACCGGGAGGGUCCCGGGGGUCCACCAGGUGGGGCCACCGGCCCCAGAGGGCUGCGUGGGCCAAGUGUGGGAAGGGACCAGCCCCUAGGUGGGCUGGUGCGCCUCCACAAGGGGCCCAGGGCGCAGGAAGGGGGGGAAAGGGGAAACCCUAGGCUCAGAUGGGCCUAAGGCCCACCUAGUGGUGCGCCCCCUUCUCCCCCCUUGGCCGCCCCAAUAGAUGGAUCUAGGGCUGGCCGCACCCCUUGGGGGGGGGGAAACCCUAGAUGGGGGCGCAGCCCCUCCCCCUCCCCUAUAUAUAGUGGGGUUUUUUGGGGCUGCCAUAGAUAUGAGAACAUCUCUCUCUUGGCGCAGCCCUACCCCUCUCCCUCCUCGUCUCUUGCGGUGCUUGGCGAAGCCCUGCUGGAGUGCCACGCUCCUCCAUCACCACCAUGCUGUUGUGCUGCUGCUGGACGGAGUCUUCCCCAACCUCUCCCUCUCUCCUUGCUGGAUCAAGGCGCGGGAGACGUCAUCGGGCUGCACGUGUGUUGAACGCGGAGGCGCCGUGGUUCGGCGCUUAGAUCGGAAUCAACCGCGAUCUGAAUCGCUACGAGUACGACUCCUUCAUCCGCGUUCUUGCAACGCUUCCGCAUCGCGGUCUACAAUGGUAUGUAGAUGCACUCCCCUUUCCCUCGGUGCUAGAUUACUCCAUAGAUUGAUCUUGGUGAUGCGUAGAAAAUUUUGAAUUUCUGCUACGUUCCCCAACAGUGGCAUCAUGAGCUAGGUCUAUGCGUAGUUUCUAUGCACGAGUAGAACACAAAGUAGUUGUGGGCGUCGAUUUUGUCAAUUUACUUGCCAUUAUUAGUCUUAUCUUGAUUCGGCGGCAUCGUGGGAUGAAGCGACCCAGACCGACCUUACACGUACACUUACGUGAGACAGGUUCCACCGACUGACAUGCACUAGUUGCAUAAGGUGGCUAGCGGGUGUCUGUCUCUCCCACUUUAGUCGGAUCGGAUUCGAUGAAAAGGGUCCUUAUGAAGGGUAAAUAGAAAUUGGCAUAUCACGUUGUGGCUUUUGCGUAGGUAAGAAACGUUCUUGCUAGAAACCCAUAGCAGCCACGUAAAACAUGCAACAACAAUUAGAGGACGUCUAACUUGUUUUUGCAGGGUAUGCUAUGUGAUGUGAUAUGGCCAAAAGGAUGUGAUGAAUGAUAUAUGUGAUGUAUGAGAUUGAUCAUGUUCUUGUAAUAGGAAUCACGACUUGCAUGUCGAUGAGUAUGACAACCGGCAGGAGCCAUAGGAGUUGUCUUAAUUUAUUGUAUGACCUGCGUGUCAAUGAAAAACGCCAUGUAAUUACUUUACUUUAUUGCUAACCGUUAGCCAUAGAAGUAGAAGUAAUAGUUGGCGAGACAACUUCAUGAAGACACGAUGAUGGAGAUCAUGGUGUCAUGCCAGUGACGAAGGUGAUCAUGCCGCGCCUCGAAGAUGGAGAUCAAAAGGCGCAAGAUGAUAUUGGCCAUAUCACGUCACUUUAUGAUUUGCAUGUGAUGUUUAUCAUGUUUACAUCUUAUUUGCUUAGAACGACGGUAGCAUAAAUAAGAUGAUCCCUCACUAAAAUUUCAAGAGAUGUGUUCCCCCUAACUGUGCACCGUUGCGAAGGUUCGUUGUUUCGAAGCACCACGUGAUGAUCGGGUGUGAUAGAUUCUAACGUUCGAAUACAACGGGUGUUGACGAGCCUAGCAUGUACAGACAUGGCCUCGGAACACAUGCGAAACACUUAGGUUGACUUGACGAGCCUAGCAUGUACAGACAUGGCCUCGGAACACAAGAGACCGAAAGGUCGAACAUGAGUCAUAUAGUAGAUACGAUCAACAUGGAGAUGUUCACCGAUGAUGACUAGUCCGUCUCACGUGAUGAUCGGACACGGCCUAGUUUGACUCGGAUCAUGUAUCACUUAGAUGACUAGAGGGAUGUCCAUCUGAGUGGAGUUCAUUAAAUAAUCAGAUGAACUUAAUUAUCAUGAACAUAGUCAAAAGGUCUUUGCAAAUUAUGUCAUAGCUUACGCUUUAGUUCUACUGUUUAAGAUAUGUUCCUAGAGAAAAUUUAGUUGAAAGUUGGUAGUAGCAAUUAUGCGGACUGGGUCCGUAAACUGAGGAUCGUCCUCAUUGCUGCACAGAAGGCUUAUGUCCUUAAUGCACCGCUCGGUGUGCUGAACCUCAGCGUCGUCUAUAGAUGUUGCAUCUGACAUACACGUUUUGAUGACUACGUAAUAGUUCAGUGCCUAAUGCUAACGGUUUAGAAUUGUGGCACCAAAGACGUUUUGAAACGUCGCAGAACAUAUGAGAUGUUCCGAAGACUGAAAUUGGGAUUUCGGACUAGUGCCCACGUCAAGAGGUAUGAGACCUCUGACAAGUUUCUUAAGCCUGCAGACUAAGGGAGAAAAGCUCAAUCGUUGAGCAUGUGCUCAGAUUGUCUGAGUGCCACAAUCGCUUGAAUCAAGUGGGAGUUAAUCUUCCAGAUGAGAUAGUGAUGGUUCUCCAUAGUCACUGCCACCAAGCUAUUAGAGCUUCGUGAUGAACUAUAACAUAUCAGGGAUAGAUAUGAUGAUCCUUGAGCUAUUCGGGACGUUUGACACCGCGAAAGUAGAAAUCAAAUAGGAGCAUCAAUUGUUGAUGGUUAAUAAAACCACUAGUUUCAAGAAGGGCAAGGGCAAAAGGGAUACUUCAUGAAACAGCAAAUCAUUUGCUGUUCUAGUGAAGAAUCCCAAGGUUAAACCCAAACCCGAGACUAAGUUCUCUUGUAAUGAGGGGAACGGUCACUGAAGCAGAACUACCCUAGAUACUUGGUAGAUGAGAAGGCAAGCAAGGUCGACAGAAGUAUAUUGGAUAUACAUUAUAUGAAUGUGUACUUUACUAGUACUCCUAGCAGCACCAGGGUAUUAGAUACCGGUUCGGUUGCUAAGUGUUAGUAACUCGAAAUAAAAGCUGCGGAAUAAACGGAGACUAGCUAAAGGUGAGAUGACGAUAUGUGUUGGAAGUGUUUCCAAGGUUGAUGUGAUCAAGCGUCGCAUGCUCCCUCUACCAUCGAGAUUGGUGUUAAACCUAAAUAAUUGUUAUUUGGUGUUUGCGUUGAGCAUAAACAUGAUUGGAUUAUGUUUAUCGCAAUACGGUUAUUCAUUUAAGGAGAAUAAUGGUUACUCUGUUUAUUUGAAUAAUACCUUCAAUGGUCUUGCACCUAAAAUGAAUCUCGAUCGCAGUGAUACACAUGUUCGUGCCAAAAGAUAUAAAAUAGUAAUGAUAGUACCACAUACUUGUGGCACUGCCAUUUGAGUCAUAUUGGUAUAGAACGCAUGAAGAAGCUCCAUGUAGAUGGAUCUUUGGACUCACUCGUUUUUGAAAAGAUUGAGACAUGCGAACCAUGUCUAUUGGUAUGAAGAAACUCCAUGCAGAUGGAUCGUUUGGACUCACUUGAUUUUGAAUCACUUGAGACAUGCAAAUCAUACCACAUGGGCAAGAUGACUGAAAGGCCUCAUUUUCAGUAAGAUGGAACAAGAGAGCAACUUGUUGGAAGUAAUGCAUUUUGAUGUAUGCAGUCCAAUGAGUGAUGAGGCAUGCAGUGGAUAUCUUUAUGUUCUUACUUCACAGAUGAUUUGAGUAGAUGCUGAGUGUAUUUACUUGAUGAAACACAAGUCUGAAUUAUUGAAAGGUUCAAGUAAUUUCAGAGUGAAGUUGAAGAUCGUCGUGACAAGAGGAUAAAAUGUCUGUGAUAUGAUCAUAGAGAUGAGUAUCUGAGUUACGAGCUUGGCACACAAUUAAGACAUUGUGGAAAGUGUUUCACAAUUAAUACCACCUGGAACACCACAGUGUGAUGGUGUGUCCGAACAUCAUAACUGCACCCUAUUGGAUGUGGUGCAUACCAUGAUGUCUCUUAUCGAAUUACCACUAUCGUUUAUGGGUUAGGCAUUAGAGACAACCGCAUUCACUUUAAAUAGGGCACCACGCAAUUCCGUUGAGACGACACCGUAUGAACUAUGGUUUAGAGAAACCUAAGCUGUCGUUUCUUAAAAGUUUGGGGCUGCGACGCUUAUGUGAAAAAGUUUCAGGCUGAUAAGCUCGAACCCAAAGCGGAUAAAUGCAUCUUCAUAGAAUACCCAAAACAGUUGGGUAUACCUCCUAUUUCAGAUCUGGAAGCAAAAGUGAUUGUUUUUAGAAACGGGUCCUUUCUCGAUUAUGGAGGUGAAAAGGAGUUCGUCGUAAAAGGUUACGUCGAUGCAAACUUUGACACUAAUCCGGAUGACUCUGAGUAGUAAACUGGAUUCGUAUAGUAGAGCAGUUAUUUGAAAUGGCUCCAAGUAGCGCGUGGUAGCAUCCACAAGAUGACAUAGAUAUUCGUAAAGCACACAAGGAUCUGAAAGGUUCAGACCCGUUGACUAAUAACCUCUCUCACAAGCAUAACAUGAUCAAACCAGAACUCAUUGAGUGUUAAUCACAUAGUGAUGUGAACUAGAUUGUUGACUCUAGUAAACUCUUUGGAUGUUGGUCACAUGGUGAUGUGACCUGUGAGUGUUAAUCACAUGGUGAUGUGAACUAGAUUAUUGACUCUAGUGCAAGUGGGAGACUGUUGGAAAUAUGCCCUAGAGGCAAUAAUAAAUUGGUUAUUAUUAUAUUUCCUUGUUCAUGAUAAUCGUUUAUUAUCCAUGCUAAAAUUGUAUUGAUAGGAAACUCAGAUACAUGUGUGGAUACAUAGACAACACCAUGUCCCUAGUAAGCCUCUAGUUGACUAGCUCGUUGAUCAAUAGAUAGUUACGGUUUCCUGACCAUGGACAUUGGAUGUCGUUGAUAACAGGAUCACAUCAUUAGGAGAAUGAUGUGAUGGACAAGACCCAAUCCUAAGCCUAGCACAAGAUCGUGUAGUUCGUUUGCUAAGAGCUUUUCUAAUGUCAAGUAUCAUUUCCUUAGACCAUGAGAUUGUGCAACUCCCGGAUACCGUAGGAAUGCUUUGGGUGUACCAAACGUCACAACGUAACUGGGUGACUAUAAAGGUGCACUAAAGGUAUCUCCGAAAGUGUCUGUUGGGUUGGCACGAAUCGAGACUGGGAUUUGUCACUCCGUGUAAACGGAGAGGUAUCUCUGGGCCCACUCGGUAGGACAUCAUCAUAAUGUGCACAAUGUGACCAAGGAGUUGAUCACGGGAUGAUGUGUUACGGAACGAGUAAAGAGACUUGCCGGUAACGAGAUUGAACAAGGUAUCAGGAUACCGACGAUCGAAUCUCGGGCAAGUAACAUACCGAUAGACAAAGGGAAUUGAAUACGGGAUUGAUUGAAUCCCCGACAUCAUGGUUCAUCCGAUGAGAUCAUCGUGGAACAUGUGGGAGCCAACAUGGGUAUCCAGAUGCCGCUGUUGGUUAUUGGCCGGAGAACGUCUCGGCCAUGUCUGCAUGGUUCCCGAACCCGUAGGGUCUACACACUUAAGGUUCGAUGACGCUAGGGUUAUAGGGAAUAGAUAUACGUGGUUACUGAAUGUUGUUCGGAGUCCCGGAUGAGAUCCCGGACGUCACGAGGAGUUCCGGAAUGGUCCGGAGGUAAAGAUUUAUAUAUGGGAAGUCCUGUUUUGGUCACCGGAAAAGUUUCGGGUGCUAUCGGUAACGUACCGGGAACACCGGGAGGGUCCCGGGGGUCCACCAGGUGGGGCCACCGGCCCCAGAGGGCUGCGUGGGCCAAGUGUGGGAAGGGACCAGCCCCUAGGUGGGCUGGUGCGCCUCCACAAGGGGCCCAGGGCGCAGGAAGGGGGGAAAGGGGAAACCCUAGGCUCAGAUGGGCCUAAGGCCCACCUAGUGGUGCGCCCCCCUCUCCCCCCCUUGGCCGCCCCCUAGAUGGAUCUAGGGCUGGCCGCACCCCUUGGGGGGGAAACCCUAGAUGGGGGCGCAGCCCCUCCCCCUCCCCUAUAUAUAGUGGGGGUUUUUGGGGCUGCCAUAGAUAUGAGAACAUCUCUCUCUUGGCGCAGCCCUACCCCUCUCCCUCCUCGUCUCUUGCGGUGCUUGGCGAAGCCCUGCUGGAGUGCCACGCUCCUCCAUCACCACCAUGCUGUUGUGCUGCUGCUGGACGAAGUCUUCCCCAACCUCUCCCUCUCUCCUUGCUGGAUCAAGGCGUGGGAGACGUCAUCGGGCUGCACGUGUGUUGAACGCGGAGGCGCCGUGGUUCGGCGCUUAGAUCGGAAUCAACCGCGAUCUGAAUCGCUACGAGUACGACUCCUUCAUCCACGUUCUUGCAACGCUUCCGCAUCGCGAUCUGCAAUGGUAUGUAGAUGCACUCCCCUUCCCCUCGGUGCUAGAUUACUCCAUAGAUUGAUCUUGGUGAUGCGUAGAAAAUUUUGAAUUUCUGCUACGUUCCCCAACAAACAUCACCCCAGAGGCAGAAUGGCUGCACAAGCAGGGCUAUCGGUGAACCGAGUCUGAGGAGGAGUCCGUCCCAGCUGCAGAGUCCGACGAGGAGCGUGCCAGUGACUACUCCGCUUGAGCCACCACUUUUGCUGUAGGUGUCCUCUCUGCCUUUUUGGCGUCUCGAUGCCAAAGGGGGAGAGAGUGUAGGAUUUGCUGCGAGUUGUGUCGUGUUUGGGUUAGUUGAACUUCGUUUAUUUCGUUUGCUUUGGUUUGCUUUGGUUUGUGCUCGUGAGACCUUCUAUCAUAUGGUAUAAGACAUAUGCACUCUAUCGUACCGUAGUGAGCUUAUUCUAUCUUGUGCUUAUUACAUUUUGCUCCUGUCUAUCUUGCUUAGCUUUAGCCUAAUAGCAAGAUUUGCCAUGUCUAUAAAAUAUAGGGGGAGUGUUGAUCCUAGUAUGUGUGCCGUGCAGUCCAAAGCACUCAUCGAGAUAGCACACAUCUAGGGGGAGCCCGUCUAUAUUUUAAAUUGGGGUUUGCCCUUGCUCUUUGCGUUAUACCCUCGUGCAAAUCCCGUGUUGUCAUCAAUCCACCAAAAAGGGGGAGACUGUAAGGGCAUUUUUAUCCCUUAGUUGGUUUUGGUGAUUGAUGACAAUGCUUUUGCGGACUAAUCAUGUGCAUCAAAUAUUUCAGAUAUAUUGACUAGGCACAAGAUGAUUGGGUUCCCCUCAAAGGCUAAAGAAGACGGCGUUUCUCUUCGGUUCUUUUCGGUGGUAUUGAGUCGUAGGGAAGCCGUACUAUUAAGAGGGGGUUCGCUUUGGAAAGGUUGGGUGGAUUCAUCACGUAUACACCGUCCCUUGCACCUCCUUUCCUCUUGCCUUUGGAGCAUCCUAAGUUUUCCUUGUCUAUGCAAUUAUAGCUCUUGUCUGCCGAACUAGGAAGUGCGGUAGUACUGCUCGUCAGAGCGGUAGUACCGCAGGACCUUGCGGUAGUACCACCCGCUGGUGCGGUUGUACCGCAAGGCCCCACGGUAGUACCGCUUCUGGUAAGCGGUAGUUCUGUGGUCCCUGCUUAGUUCCGGAACUACGCGGCUGGUGCGGUAGUACCGCAACCUCGCGCGGUAGUACCGCGGCUGGCUUACGGUACUACCGCGUCGGGUUUUUGCAUCGACUCCAACUCUGCGGAAGUAGCCACGGAUGUAAUUUUUUAUAUCCGUGCCUUCCCAUCCCUGGACAGCCCCUGCCUUGCGGUAGUACCGCAAGCGGGAGCGGUAGUACCGCGCCAGCAGUACUACCGCCCUCUGCCUUAGUGCAUGUGUGGCUGUUCUGGUCUCUGCUGCGUGGGCGGUAGUACCGCGGGGCUCUACAGUAGUACCGCGUGCCCCUGCGGUAGUACCGCGCCUCAGGUGCGGUAGUACCGCGCUGCGCGACUGAGUUGGUGGAUAACGGUUGGAUUUGUUCUUCCACUAUAUAAGGGGUGUCUUCCUCCUCUAGUUGACUACCUCUUCCACCUCCAAGCUCCAUUGUUGCUCCAACUUCAUUUUCGCCCGAUCUCCUCCCCUAGCCAAUCAAACUUGUUGAUUCUCUAGGGAUUGGUUGAGGAGGCCCCGAUCUACACUUCCACCAAGAGAUAUUUGAAUCCCCCCACUAAUCCCUUGUGGAUCUUGUUACUCUUGGGUGUUUGAGCAACCUAGACGGUUGAGGUCACCGUGGAGCCAUAGUCCAUUGUGGUGAAGCUUCGUGGUAUCGUUGGGAGCCUCCAAUUAAGUUGUGGAGAUUGCCCCAACCUUGUUUGUAAAGGUUCGGUCACCGCCUCCAAGGGCACCAAUAGUGGAAUCACGGCAUCUCGCAUUGUGUGAGGGCGUGAGGAGAAUACGGUGGCCCCUAGUGGCUUCUUGGGGAGCAUUGUGCCUCCACACCGCUCCAACGGAGACGUACCUCCUCUCAAAGGGAAGGAACUUCGGUAACACAUCCUCGUCUUCAUCGGCUCCACUCUUGGUUAUCUCGUGCCUUUACUUGUGCAAGCUUAUUUGUGCCUUAUCUCUUGCUUGCGUGUAUGCUUAUUGUUGUUGCAUCAUAUAGGUUGCUCACCUAGUUGCAUUUCUAGACAACCUACUUUGAUGCAAAGUUUAAAUUGGUAAAGAAAAGCUAAAACUUGUUAGUUGCCUAUUCACCCCCCUCUAGUCAACUAUAUCGAUCCUUUCAUUAUGGUUAUUGUUAAGUUGCAGUUAGGGUUAUUGUUUCAUAUAUAUGUUAGGGGUUUGUAUUUUGUGUUAAUCUUCGAAUGACUACUUGUGGGAUAUAUGUUGUGUUGUGUUGUUUUAGUUAUUGUAGGGAUGGGAAGAACAUGUGUUUAUGUUCAUUAUGUGCGCAAAGAUGUCCUUUUGAUAGGAAAUAUUAAACCGGACCCGGACGAGCUUGACAUGGUGUUUGAGAGUAGUCCUAGCUAUGCGGGGAUCUUGGACCCAAGUGACAUCGUUGAGUUGGGGGGAAGACAUAAUGUGGGUUUUGGAAUGCACAUGGGAUUCAAGAUGAAAUAUCUUGCAUUACCUAAUCUAUCCUUGGUGCCAUAUGGUUCCAUUCCACGUGUAACACAACACAACAACACAACAUUGAUGCCGAGUUCUCAUGAAAGCAUGGGAAUGAGUGAUGUAAAGUCAAUGUUUACCUGCUCAGCCGUAACAGUGUCCAACUCGUUGGUGUACUGCCUAUACAUCAUAAUGACAUCACUAGUCAUAUCGGUUACCACAUCCCACUUGUAAGCCCAGGUGGGGAGCCGUAGUUCGUCGCCUUGGUCAUCCCAACCCUUGUACGUUAUGUCCUUCGGGCGUUCGACUGGCAGGCGCUCCCAGCUCCAUACAGAAAGUACGAGAAUACAACCACCAAUACAUCCGUCCUUUGAGAUCCUACAAGAAGCAUCAUCCAACUGCACAUAAAGGAAAACAUGGUUCAUUUAAGAGCAAAAUUGCAUUGAUAAUAUAGAAAUGAAGUGAAAACAAACAACUGACUACCUGUCGGUACAAGUAGGCCAGUGCCGUCGAAUCCCAACUCCAUAGGUUGUCGAAGACGGUCAGCGCCUUAAGCCACACCCAUGGAGCAUUCUUGCCAAUGGCGUGAGCAAACAAAGUCCUGGUGAUAACGUACCACAUGUGAACACGAGCAUAUGUCUGCACCACAUCAUCAGUAGCAUCCUGAGGGCAGUGCGCAAAGUUCGCUACAAUCCGAGUGAACUGAGCUCCGGCUGCGACUCUUUCCUUCUUUUCCCCCUCUGCUACUGGAGCCUCUACAGGAGACAUACAAAUAAGGGCCUCCAUCUGCUGGCGUCAACCAUUGAAAUCAGUUCUCAUACAGAUAGGCUUCCCCUCGAUAGGAAGACCGGUGAUCAAGGCGACAUCCAGGAGCGUCACAAUCAUCUCCCGGUCUGAAGAUGGGAAUUGUGCGUGUGCAUCCUCCACGAUCAACCAAUGUGGUGAUUGCUGCAGCAUUGAGGUUCGGCGUCGACCGGCUGACCAGCUGAAUGAAGGGGAGGAGUCCUGUCUGCCUGAUGUAUGGUGUGUACCGCUCAUCGUAGGGCAUGACACCACGAGAGAUCCCAUGAGACCAAAUCUUCAAAGGUUGAAAAAACUGCAAACAAGUAAGCCUGAGUAUUAAAUAUGGGGCAUGUCUAUUUGAACUAAACACAAAUUUCAAAAUACCAACUACUUUAAUUAUUACCUUCUUCCCCGACAUAAAGUUGGCCCGAUGUUGAGUGUCAUAGAAAUCAUUGAGAAGCCAAACCAUCCUACAAAUUUUAAACAGAAAACUAAUGUAAGAUAUACAAUGGAAGCAUGUCCACAAUGAUCACAAAGAUCGUAUGUAUUCACAACAAUGUAGGGUUGCACAAUGGAAGCAUUAUUUACAAGGCUCAAUAAUCUAAGUUUCCGCAACGAAAGCAUUGACAAUUCUCAUCUCAAAUAUCAUCUACACAAAACAUGUCAACAUGUAUAUGGUUUCAUGUCAACAAUCUAGGGUUUCACUAGGGAAGCAUAUAUUAUCAAUACAAAACAACAAUAAUAGGGUUCCACAAUGAUUACAAAUCACCUACAAAUCCUAAUCCCACAAAACUAUUUCAACUUUACAUGCAAAUUUCAAAUCCAAGUAAACUAGGGUUCCACAAAUCUGUGCCUAAGAUUUUCCAAAUAGAAAGGAGAAUCGAAGGAGAUUACCUUCUAGAAGGGACUGAUAAAGAAAUCCAAGAAAGAAAUCGUCUGAUCUUAAAGAUUUUGGGAGAGAGGAGAGCCGCCGCCGGCUUGCCUCUUUGUUCUGCUCUGGAACGAGUGAUGGCUCAGAGCGUGUCGCGGGCCCCAUGGCUAAAAAACCAAACGCUUUUUUAUUCCCGCCACCCAGUCCGCGAAGAACAUCUGUGUGGACGCCGAAUGCCUACAGUGGAAUAUUAAAUUUCUGUGGCGCUCUUUUCACUGCUUAUAUUGUACGCCGAAAGUCCGAAAAUGCAUGUGUCACUGUGGUUGUAGCGCAAGUAGUCGUUUGUAGUUUUUCACCGGCCACCCGCUGCCAACCAAGUGUGCGUCGCUCCUCCUCCGGGAAAAACGAAAAUCUACAGCAUCUCGCUCACGAGACGGGCUAGCACGCUCCAAUGAUGAUUGCGUACAAUGCUUCACUGUGAGGCUAAAUUUCGUGUUUUGACCCUUUUCUGAAACCUAUUCAAGAUCUAACCCUAAUUUGAAAUUUUUUCGAGAUCUGACUUUUUGCUACCGCCAGGGCCAAUGGCGGUAGGGUAUAACAACCUACCGCCAAGGUCCCUGGCGGUAGGGUUGCAUGCCCUACCGCCAUUUUCUUUUAAGUUUUUGAACACAGUACGUGCUCGUGCCUACCGCCAAGCACCUUGACGGUAGGGUUGUACAGGCUACCGCCAGCCCGUUUAACGAUAGGGUUGUACAGACUACCGCCAGCCCGUUUGGCGCCGAAUCACUGAAAAGUACGGGGACAUUUGCGCACAAAAGAAAACGUUGGGAAUCAUCCGGGCAGGAGGGGUCGCGUCACGGCCGGGCUGGACGGUGUGGACGUGCAACCGCCCAUGUGUCCGAUCCCUACGAGGUGUAGACGGUGACACAGCGCGUGUCGCGGGCCCCGCACGGAAAAACCAAACGCUUUUUAUUCCCGCCACCCCAGUCCGGGGAGAACAUCUGUGUGGACGUCGAAUCCCUCCGGCGGAAUAUUAAAUUUCUGUGGCGCUCUUUUCACGGCUUUAUUAUUCUGCACCGAAAGUCGGAAAAUGCAUGUGUCACUGUAGUCGUGGUACAAGUAGUCGCUUGUAGUUUUUCACCGACCGCCCGCUGCCAACAAGUGUGCGUCGCUCCUUCUCCCGGGGAAAACGAUAGUAAUCUAUCGCAGCUCGCUCUCACGAGAUGGGCUGCAAUGAAUGAUUACGUGCAAUGCUUCACGUGAAGCCACACUAUAAACAAAACCGGGCGCGGAUCUCGAUGAGGCUGUCUCCCGGGACGAAGCCUGCCCGCCUGACCGGCGAUGCCCCAGACAAGGACCGCGCCCAAAAGGAAAAUUAGGGGUGAAGGUUUUAUGCCUGGCGCGCUGUUAGCCUCUCGCUUUACUUAAACAACGUAGAUCUCACGAGCUGCGUCCUGCUCUAUGAAGAUUUUGUACGAGUACAAAACUGCCCAUGGCUGGUGCCGGCGUGUGACAGGUUCGUGCGUCUGAUUGGGUGUAGAGGUGUAGACAAGAUCUGCACAUGUGCGGCCACCUCCACACUGUUCACAAGCUGCUGCCUGGCGGGCAUGCACCACACCCCCCAAAGCUCGCCCAUGGACCACGGCUCCACGCCAUGGAGAAAAGAACGGCACCUUGAUUUCUUCUACUUUCUUUUCUCAAAGUGGGCACUGUUUUUUUUAGAACCAAAGUGGGCACUGUUGGUCUAUAAUUAGGGUGCCUAACCACGUGGGCCACCUGGCCCGUAUGUUGGCGAAAAGGCUGGCACGCUAAUUAUGGGCCCUAAUACGGUCCGCAUUAGUUUAUGCCGGUGGCCGCCUAAUGAUGUAGAUUUGAUGCCCACGAUUCCGACUAGACAGACAAGAAAUAAUUCUUUCGCGCUUAUAUUAUUGGGGCGAAUAUUUAGUCCGAUCUUUCGCGGAGAGAAAAGUAGAGCGAGUGUUUGUUCAGGCCAGGGGUACGUCAGUACUUGUAUUUCCAUUCCAAUCAGUCGAUGGUAUUGGUGUCGUACUCCAAGACUGCGGGCGCUAGCCCACAGGUUUGGGGGUACAUGGAGGGCGACGCGACCUCUGUACGUUGCUAUCGGUGGCCCGGGACCCGUCCACGUCGCCCGCACAUAACAUGGUUCCUGUCGUUUUCGCCGCCGUGGAGCCACGUCUGCUAUCAGGCGGGGCGGCGGGCCACCACCCGUAUGGCGCCGUGGGUCCGUGUCGGAGCCCGCGAAUAAUGAAACAGAAGCGCUCCAUCGUCCAUGGUUAGCCUCGUCCGGGCGGCGCAUGGUAUUGCCUGACCCUGUGGGCUCGUCCCGCCCGCGCCGGACUUCUUCUCUCGUCGCGGGUCCGUGCCCGUCCCUGCGCAGGCAUAUAUACCCAGACUCCAGUUUGGUUCAGCACAGCAAACACUCAAUCAAUCUCCCACUCCCGGCGCACCAAAAGCAAGGACGUAGCACGAAAACACGAUGGCCUGCGCCUUCUUCUUCGACGCCGAGCCCGGCGUGCACGCGCUGGACGCGUGCGCGCUCUGCACCAAGCCGCUGGCGCGGGACAGCGACAUCUUCAUGUACAGAGUGGACACGCCCUUCUGCAGCGACGAGUGCCGCCACGAGCAGAUGCAGCUCGACGCCGCCUGCGCCAGGCAGGCCGCCGCCCGGAGGCAGAAGCAGUUCUCGUCGGGAACGGGGGUCCGGACGUGCGCACCGGGAGGCGUCCGUCGCGAGCUGACCGGCGAGAGCGGCAUGCUCCGUACGUGCUUGAGCCAACAAGAUCGGCGUGCACGAAGACGCCAUCGCCCGUGGCCAACUGAUCAGCGCGGGGUCGAGAAGACUCGCCUUGGUUGAAGAAUCAAGACGCGUGUCACUGGAGUUGUUCACGGCAGGCGGCGCUGCACGGGCCACCGGUCAAGUGAUUUGGGUAUAAACGCAGCGGAAAGGAGCUGGACUGGAUCUGAAGAAGUCAAUCAAACAGGAUUCUCCACGGCAUUAGGCGGCCAUGUGUGCCCCUCAGCUCUCCUUUGUUUCGGCAUUGAUGUCAGUUCUGUAUGAGAGCGAAUUUGCAGUGGCACUUUCACUGUCAAUCGAAUGAAAUAAGACAUGUCUUUGUGCAAUC